GCGUGCACCGCGCCCGGGCCGGGCCUGCGGGGCUGCGCGAAGCGCGAGGCCGCCGGGGGCUUGGCUAGGCGGUAGCCCGGUCGGGCGCCUAGUGGGACCGCGAGGGCCCAUGGCCGAGCCGGCUCCGUUACCUCUGACUUUUGAGGAUGUGGCCGUUUAUUUCUCAGAGCAAGAAUGGCAGAAUCUAGAGGCAUGGCAGAAGGAGCUUUACAAGCAAGUAAUGAGAGCCAAUUAUGAGAUUUUCCUUUCUCUAGAUAAUGGACUUCCCAAACCAGAACUAAUAUCCUGGAUUGAGCAGGGGGAAGAGCUCUAUAAGAAAUGGGGAGAAUCACAGGAAUCAAGAAGCAUAAUUUGCUCCUCUGCUGAUUUGCAUUUUGAUCCAGUUAUUGAGGGACAGCCAUUUUCAGUUUCAGGAAACCAACAAGCUGUGAGUUCAGAAGAAGCUCAUUACCAUUUCCAAGUAGAUCCUCUUCAGAGCCACCGUUCCUCUGAACCCUUAUCAGGAAAAAGUGAAGAUGUUUCCUUCAGGCCUGACCAAGCCGUCGCCCUCGUGAACCCACAGAGACAUAACACUCGGCCUUUACUCCCAGCGGUCCACAGCUCCAGGGAACCCGCCCAAAGAGACAGAAUCGCAAGCCCCAGAGCCCUGGGUCUCCCAGGCUUCCAGCAGUCUUGUGCCUUCUGUGGGGAAAGCUUUUGGAAUGAGAACCUCUUAGAGCGGCACCAGGGAAGCCACUCAAAGGCCUGGAAGCAACUCCGCAAACAACCCGAGGCAGAGCAGCCUCGGAGACAGACUCACUUCCGCGGCCUCGGAUGUGGGCGGGGCUUCCGUCGGAAGCCGCCCUUGCUUAGCCCCGUGGUGGCCAGGGCUGAGGAGAGCCACCCGCUAGGCCUCGAAAGUGAAGAGACGUGCGGCUACCGCCUGACGCCACCACGGCCUUCCCCGUGCCCCAGUUGCGACGACAGUGCCUCCCGGGGACCCCCGGGCGUGGAGAGGCCAGUCUCCCCGAGAGAGGGCGCCGGGGCAGCCUCCGAGCAGACCGAGCUCCCUCCGAGCUCGAACCUGGCUGGUCAGGCGUGUGGCCUUUGGGUUGGAGACCCGGCGGCCCUCGAGCCUGGCCCCGGUGGGGAGAGGCCGUCCUCCUGUGGCGCGUGCCGCCGGCGUCCCUCCCGGCGGUGCGGGGUCUCCGACCACACCCACGUGCACUGCGCGGAGCGGCCCUGCCGGUGCGCUGAGUGCGGUCGGGCCUUCCGCCAGCGCGGGCGGCUGCGGCUCCACUGGCAGACGCCCUCGCACGAGCCACCCUGCCCAGGUCCGGAGUGCGGCCUGGGCUUUCGCCUGAGGAGCCCGCUGCGGGCCCACGGGCUGCGGCACAGCGCUGAGAGGCCGCUGGCGUGUGGCGAGUGCGGCCGCGGCUUCGCCCAUCCGUGCAAGCUGCGUGAGCACCUGCGGGUGCACAGCGGCGAGCGGCCCUUCGGCUGUGCGGAAUGCGGCAAGAGCUUCCGCCUCAAGGGCAUCCUGAAGGCGCACGAGCGCACGCACAGCCACGAGCGGCCCUUCCAAUGCGCCGAGUGCGGCCGGGGCUUCACGCGGCCGUCCAAGCUGGCUGAGCACUUCCGCGUGCACAGCGGCGAGCGGCCCUUCGGCUGCCCGGACUGCGGCCGCCGCUUCCGCCUCCAGGGGCAGCUGCGGAGCCACCGGCGCCUGCACACGGGCGAGAGGCCCUUCCUGUGCCCCGACUGCGGCAAGAGCUACCGCGUGAAGGCCGACUUGAAGGCGCACCAGCUGCUGCACGGCGGCCCGAUGCCCUUCUCCUGCGAGUGCGGCAAGGGCUUCGCCAAGCAGUCCAAGCUCGUGGAGCACGUCCGGACGCACACGGGCGAGAAGCCCUUCCAGUGUCCCCAGUGCGACAAGCGCUUUCGCUUGAAGGCGCAGCUGCUCAGCCACCAGGGCCUGCACACCGGGGAGAGGCCUUUCCGCUGCCCCGAGUGCGACAAAAACUUCCGGGAAAGGGGCCACAUGCUCCGGCACCAGCGCAUCCAUCGGCCCGACCGGCCGUUCGCCUGUGCAGACUGCGGCAAGGGCUUCAUUUACAAGUCGAAACUGGCCGAACACGUCCGAGUGCACGCGAAAUCCUGCCGUGUCCGCAGAGAGCCUGACGUUAAGAAAAGGCUCAGCCAGCUGUUUGCGAUGAUUGAGGCUGACUGGAGUUGAGGCCAAGGAGGGCACCCAAAGCAGUCAGCCGAGUCCGUGUUGCCUGGAAAUCCACAGCCGAACCCCACAUCUGGUCCAGCCUUGUGUAAUUAUCAAAGGAGAAAGAGGCCAGAUUGUAAAUUUUAGCACUCCCAGUCAAGACAUGCUGACAGUCAUGGACACCUACUGGAUGAACAUCAGGAUUAAAAAAGCUAAGAUCAUGACCUCUGUUCACAUCACUUCAUGGCAAACAGAGUCCCUUGGACUACAAGGAGAUCAAAUCAGUUAAUCCUAAAGGAAAUCAACCCUGGAUAUUCACUGGAAGGACUGAUGUUAAAGCUGAAACUCCAGUUCUUUGGCCACCUGAUUCAAAGAGCCACUCAAUGGAAAAGACUCAGAUACUGGGAAAGACUGAAGGCCAAAGGAGAAGGGGCGGCAGAGGAUGGGGUGGUUAGAUAGCAUCACCGACUCAAUGGACGUGAAUUUGAGCAAACUCCGGAAGAUAGUGAAGGACAGGGAAGCUUGGCGUGCUGCAGUCUUUGGGGUCACAAAGAGCUGGACAGCAUUUAGCGACUGAACAGCUAGCUAGCUGAAGGCACCUCGCUCCCAGGAUGCCUCUGGAGAUUCUUGGCUCCUCCUGCCUGCAGUCGGCGCUGUGGGAUCCCAGUCCCUAAACCGGACCAGAAAGGCAACGUUCCCAGGAUGGCCUGCGUGUCGUCAGGGCAACGGGCGCGGAGGGGUGCAGGCCCCGCCUCCCCUCCCCUCCCACCCACUAGCGGCAGCUAGAGCCUGGUUCCCAGCGGCAGUAGCAGCGACCGGGCCUUGGAAAAAGGGACCUUGCAUCCGGCAGAGGUCUGGAAUCCCGCCCGGCACCACGCCGGUGGUUGGCUCAGCGGCCAAGUUCCGGAUCUCGGGCUACCCAGGCUGCAGGUGUCAUCAGUUGGGAGCAGCGACCACUCAGCCUGGCAGAGGGAGCAGUGCACGGUCACAGGAGGGAAAAAAAAGCCUGCUCCGGCGGGAGCCGGCCAGGAGGAGGCAACGGUCCUGGAUGCUCGAACUGACUGAAAUCUUCAGCCUCAGCCGAGUUCGUGUGUUGCCCAGAGGGGGCCGUGCAGGGAAAUCUGUGUUCUCAGCCGUGGACACUUAAGUUCCUUGAAGCAGAGAAGUGAUUUUUUUAAAAAAAAUCUUUGUUACCCAUGUGGUAUGUGACCCCAGUUGGGAAAACUUGUUGAAUCAAUGAAUGGAAGAGGCCUAUGCAUAGCCACUGACUUUACGGUCAGUUCAGGGCUUUCUGAAUGUUUCUGUUUCUCUGAAGCUCAGUUUGUGUGCUGGGAGUACUGUUGGUAAAGAUACAGCAUGGGAGAAAGAGCUAAAGGAAUUACGGCUGAGAAAGGGAAAGAGAUCCCAUAGGGGGCAUAUAGUAUAAUACUAUUAAUAAAUUGCAAUUGUAGGGAGUGUAGUUCUUUAGAAAACGAUAAUGACGGUUGCAACUCUUAUUUUAGUUUCAAAUCUUUCAAAGAUCCCUAGGGGUGACAGUAACUCAGGUUCCAGAUACUUAAAGUUGAAACUAAUAUUUCUCAAGGAACAGGACAAUUUCUUACUGUGUUUUACACUAACACAAAAAAAUGGAAUUUAGAAUAGAAUCUUUAGAGAUCAUCAUCCAAUUCCUUCAUUGUAGAGGUGAGGAAAGGGAGUUAUAGAGAGGUUGAAGUGACUUGCCCCAGGUCACAUAGCUCACGAUUGAGAAUACAGCCUGUUUCUUGAGUUCCAGUUCUGUGCUCUCCUCCCUUCCCUUCCAUGCAAAUUUAAUGUUUAUUGUGACUUUUUUCCUUUAGUAAAUAUUAAUACUGACAGUAUUUUUUCUCUUGGGCUGGGGCUGCUUAAUUAAGCUUCUGUUUCACAUAUUUCAAGUUGUCAGGAAGCUAGAGGGCUUUUUCCUUAGUCCCCUUUGUCAUCUUUUGGAGAAAGUGGUGUUUUGAUUCUGUCUGCAAAUGGCCUUGAAAAGAUCAUGGAUGAUUUAUCAUUUCUUUCUGACAUUCCUAAUACACUCUUGGGGCAAAUAGUUUUCAGUUUAAGUUUGAUUUUAGUGGAGUCAAACUAGCAAUUGUAGAAGUCUCUGUAAAUGUAACUUUCUUAAAAACAUAAACGUGUUUCAGAUUUCUCACAGGAAAUGUUGAAGACAGUUCUGUGUGUCCUUUAUCGCACGGUUUUUUAACACAUUUACACAACUAUGCCAUACAACAGGUAAUUACAUGACUGUGUCUUAGGCGACGUACUCAAAUGUUCUUUUUAUUGAAUCAGACUCUUUGUUUCAAGUUGUGUUUCUCCAGUUAGAAAUGAGUGUCUCUGGCAGUUCCAGUGACUGACUUCUUUAUGAAUCCCCUGCCCCCUCAAUGUUCCUGUAAAACAAGGGCCUAUAUGUUGA